rnacentral:rRNA from 1 species
AUACGGAGGGUGCAAGCGUUACUCGGAAUCACUGGGCGUAAAGCGCGCGCAGGCGGCUAUUUAAGUUGGAUGUGAAAGCCUACGGCUCAACCGUAGAACUGCAUCCAAAACUAUUUAACUAGAGUGUGGGAGAGGAAGAUGGAAUUAGUUGUGUAGGGGUAAAAUCCGUAGAGAUAACUAGGAAUACCAAAAGCGAAGGCAAUCUUCUGGAACACUACUGACGCUGAGGCGCGAAAGCGUGGGGAGCAAACGGGAUUAGAAACCCCAGUAGUCC